rnacentral:rRNA from 1 species
AGCAGCCGCGGUAAUUCCAGCUCCAAUAGCGUAUAUUAAAGUUGCUGCAGUUAAAAAGCUCGUAGUUGAAUUUCGGGACCAUCAUGUCGGUCGUGCCUCGGUACGUACUGGCAUCGUCGGUUUCUCCCUUCUGACGAACCAUGAUGUCAUUUAUUUGGUGUUGUGGGGAAUCAGGACUGUUACUUUGAAAAAAUUAGAGUGUUUAAAGCAGGCUCACGCUUGAAUACAUUAGCAUGGAAUAAUGAAAUAGGACGUUUGAUUCUAUUUUGUUGGUUUCUAGGAUCGACGUAAUGAUUAAUAGGGAUAGUUGGGGGCAUUAGUAUUCAAUUGUCAGAGGUGAAAUUCUUGGAUUUAUUGAAGACUAACCACUGCGAAAGCAUUUGCCAAGGAUGUUUUCAUUAAUCAAGAACGAAAGUUAGGGGAUCGAAGACGAUCAGAUACCGUCGUAGUCUUAACCAUAAACUAUGCCGACUAGGGAUCGGAUGAUGUUAAUUUUUUAAUGACUCA